CGUUUCUGCGUUGCAGUGACGCAUAUACCAUGACUGUGUGUUUACCACCGAGCUGUGGGCUAGGUUCGCUAACAUAAACACAAAACAACUUAAUUCCACUCAGACAGAUUAUAUUGUUUUAAACACCAUCUUAGCAUUUUUAAGAACUGCUUCAUAACCCCAGUUGGGUUUUCUGAUCAUAGUCUAGUUAUAGGUACAGUAACUUUAAACUUUGUCAAGCUGAAAAGUGCUUACUGGCAUUUUAAUACAAAUUUAUUAAGUGAUGCACAUUUUAUAGAUACAUUUAAAUUCUUUUGGGAAAAUUUUAGGAAUGAAAAAGCAAGUUUUCAGUCUUUGCAAACAUGGUGGGGGUUUGGUAAAACUCAAAUUAAGCAACUAUGUCAACAGUACACUCAUAAUGUCACAAAAGAUAUAAUUAAAUCUAUUAGAGUGUUAGAGGAUGAAAUUCUGAAAUUUCAAGAAGCGGCACAGUCAAGUGGAAAUCAAACACAUAUUGAAGGCCUUUUUUAAAGAAAUUGGUUUUGUCUGACAUGCAAACAGUGAAAGCAGACUUUAGUUUUAUCAGCAUAUGCUGAUGAUGUUGUCAUAAUAGUAAAUAAGCAAAAUGAUGUAGAUACAUUAUUAAAAACAUUAAGGGAUUUUGAAGUCAUCUCUUCAGCUAGAAUUAACUGGGGUAAAAGUGAAGCAAGGAAAGUGGGAAAGAGGGGUUCCAACACUCCCAAAUGGGUUAACUUGGAAAAAAGAUGGUUUAAAAUAUUUGGGAGUGUUUAUAGGAGAUGAAAUGAUUGUUCAAAAAAAUUGGGAGGUCGUUUAAUUGGGAGGUCGUUUAAUGAAAUGGAAAUGGAUUGUAAAGAAUUUAUCAUAUAGAGGACGUACCCUUAUUAUUAAUAAUUUGGUGGCCUCUUCUUUAUGGCACCGACUGGCUUGUAUAGACCCACCUGCAUAUUUACUUGGGAAAAUCCAAUCCAUAUUAAUAGAUUUUUUUUUUUUUUUGGGAAAAAAAAAAAAGGCUGAAGGACUAUGCUUGGAUAAGCCUUUGUUCUUGUUGGAUCCCAAAAAAGUCAACACAUCUAGGAUGCCAGAGUUUUACAGGAAUCUUUUUAAAGUAUGGGAUCUCUUUCAGGUGAAAAGAACUGAUCCUACGUCAUCUUUAUUCUGGCUAUUGAACCCCUGAUCUAUGGAUCAUGUUUGGACAUUUUGGGUGCAUGUGGGACAAUGACUGCAGCAUUCAUUAAAUCCAAGAUUAUAACGAUUAGAUGUUUAAUCAAAGUGGCUGGGCCAAGUUUUGGUAAAGCUGAGGAUGUAGCUGUUCUUUUAGGAGUGAAAUCCAUUCGAAUUGUUACACAAGUAUUACAGAAAUUACAAUCUGCUUUUAUAAUAGAAGAAUUAAAAAUGCUUCAAGGUUACAGUGAAGGGGAAUUUAUCCCUAAUGAAAAGGACCAGUUUCCAAAUCUGCUUCUUUCACAAAAUUUAGGUGAUUGUACAGGAUUUUUUUUGGAAUCUGAAAAGGUGACAGAUAUGGAUUUGUAUGAAAGUAAUGGGGAAAAAAAUGUAUAAAGCUUGUGUAAAAGUUUUUAACAAAAGGGGAUUACCUGAAAGAAUUGACACACCAUGACGUACUGUUUUUAAGAUGAGUAAUAAUGUUAGACCAGAGUGGAGAGCACUGUACAAGCCACCGUUAACUAAAAGAGCUGGAGAUCUACAAUGGCGAAUUCUGCAUGGCAUUAUUGCUGUAAAUGCUUUUGUUUCCGUUUUGAAUCCAGAUAUUAGCAAUGAAUGUCCUUUUUGUUUUCAGAAAGAGACCCUUUUUUUUAUACUUUUUUGUAUUGCUCAAGACUUAAACCUUUAUUUGAUGGUUUGCAAAAUCUUUUUAAUAGUUUUAAUGAGAAGUUUUCUGUGCAGAGUUUUAUUUUGGGUUUUAAAUAUGUUCAAAAAAGAAAGAAUGAUUGUCAAUUGCUUAAUUUUAUUUUGGGAAAAGCCAAAAUGGCGAUUUACAUUAGCAGAAGAGAAAAAAUUGAGCAAAGAAUCAAUCAUAAUGUUGAAAGGGUGUUUGCAGCUAUGAUCAAAUCAAGGCUUUUAAUUGAUUUUUGUUUUUACAAAGCUGGACUCCUUAAAUAUUUUUGAAAGAAUAUGGUGUCAUAGAGGAGCUUUGUGUUCCAUUAUUGAAAAUGAACUUCAUUUUGCACUCUUUUUAUAAAAUGUUUUAAAUUUUGUGGAAUUUUUGAUGUUAUGUGACUUGAUGUGAUUUUUUUCAGUUUUGUUAAAUAAAGAUGCUUGAAAAAUCAAA